CACGUAGGGGGCGAGCGUUGUCCGGAUUUACUGGGCGUAAAGAGCUCGUAGGUGGUUUGUCGCGUUGUCCGUGAAAACUCACAACUCAAUUGUGGGCGUGCGGGCGAUACGGGCAGACUGGAGUACUGCAGGGGAGACUGGAAUUCCUGGUGUAGCGGUGGAAUGCGCAGAUAUCAGGAGGAACACCGGUGGCGAAGGCGGGUCUCUGGGCAGUAACUGACGCUGAGGCGCGAAAGCCUAGGGGAGCGAACAGG
rnacentral:rRNA from 1 species